rnacentral:tRNA from 1 species
GCCCACAUAGCUCAGUCGGUAGAGCGUUUCCAUGGUAAGGAAGAGGUCACCGGUUCGAUUCCGGUUGUGGGCU